rnacentral:rRNA from 1 species
GAUAAACGCUGGCGGCAUGCCUAAUACAUGCAAGUCGAACGGACGUAGCAAUACGUUAGUGGCGAACGGGUGAGUAACACGUAAGUAACCGACCUUAAAGACGAGGAUACCCUUUGGAAACGAAGGUUAAAACUGGAUAGGACGGGAGGACAAAAGCCUUCCCGUUUAAAGGUGCAACUGCACUACUUUAAGCCGGGCUUGCGGCGCAUUAGCUAGUUGGUGAGAUAAUAGCCCACCAAGGCAACGAUGCGUAGCUGCGCUGAGAGGCGGAACAGCCACACUGGGACUGAGACACGGCCCAGACUCCUACGGGAGGCAG